rnacentral:rRNA from 1 species
UACGUAGGGGGCGAGCGUUGUCCGAAGUUACUGGGCGUAAAGAGCUCGUAGGCGGUCUGUCGCGUCUGGUGUGAAAUCCCAUGGCUCAACUGUGGGCUUGCAUCGGGUACGGGCAGACUAGAGUGCUGUAGGGGAGACUGGAAUUCCUGGUGUAGCGGUGGAAUGCGCAGAUAUCAGGAGGAACACCGAUGGCGAAGGCAGGUCUCUGGGCAGUUACUGACGCUGAGGAGCGAAAGCAUGGGGAGCGAACGGG